rnacentral:rRNA from 1 species
UACGUAGGGGGCUAGCGUUGUCCGGAAUCAUUGGGCGUAAAGCGCGCGUAGGCGGCCCGGUAAGUCCGCUGUGAAAGUCAAAGGCUCAACCUUUGAAAGCCGGUGGAUACUGCCGGGCUAGAGUCCGGAAGAGGCGAGUGGAAUUCCUGGUGUAGCGGUGGAAUGCGCAGAUAUCAGGAGGAACACCGAUAGCGAAGGCAGCUCGCUGGGACGGUACUGACGCUAAGGCGCGAAAGCGUGGGGAGCGAACAGG